rnacentral:rRNA from 1 species
GACGAGGGAUCCUAGCGUUGUUCGGAAUCAUUGGGCGUAAAGCGGGUGUAGGCGGACUUAUAAGUCAGGUGUGAAAUCCCAGGGCUCAACCCUGGAAGUGCAUUUGAUACUGUAAGUCUUGAAUGUGGUAGAGGUUACUGGAAUUGCUGGUGUAGUGGUGAAAUACGUAGAUAUCAGCAGGAACACCGGAGGCGAAGGCGGGUAACUGGGCCAACAUUGACGCUGAGACCCGAAAGCGUGGGGAUCAAACAGGA